AAUGGCUGAGGAAAAGCGAUAAAUUGUAAAUUUAUUUACGAGAAAUUAACUCUUUUAUUA
rnacentral:tRNA from 1 species